UCAAUGUUUCAAAUCCUUCAU
ensembl:piRNA 21ur-2813 ncRNA